AUUGAACGCUGGCGGCAGGCUUAACACAUGCAAGUCGAGCGAGCGGCGGACGGGUGAGUAAUGUCUGGGAAACUGCCUGAUGGUGGGGGAUAACUCCUGUAAACGGUAGCUAAUACCGCAUACCAUCAGAUGUGCCCAGAUGGGAUUAGCUAGUUGGUGGGGUAAUGGCUCACCUAGGCGACGAUCCCUAGCUGGUCUGAGAGGAUGACCAGCCCAACUGGGACUGAGACACGGUCCAGACUCCUACGGUAGGCAGCAGUGGGGAAUAUUGCACAAUGAGCGAAAGCCUGAGGCAUCCAUCCCGCGUGUGUGAAGAAGGCCUUCGGGUUUUAAAGCACUUUCAGCGAGGAGGCGGUACUCGCAGAGGAAGCACCGGCUAACUCCGUGCCAGCAGCCGCGGUAAUUC
rnacentral:rRNA from 1 species